rnacentral:rRNA from 1 species
ACGGGAGGCAGCAGUGGGGAAUAUUGGGCAAUGGGGGAAACCCUGACCCAGCAACGCCGCGUGAAGGAAGAAGGCCCUCGGGUUGUAAACUUCUUUUACCAGGGACGAACAAAUGACGGUACCUGGAGAAAAAGCAACGGCUAACUACGUGCCAGCAGCCGCGGUAAUACGUAGGUUGCAAGCGUUGUCCGGAUUUACUGGGUGUAAAGGGCGUGUAGGCGGAGAAGCAAGUCAGAUGUGAAAUCCCGGGGCUUAACCCCGGAACUGCAUUUGAAACUGUUUCCCAUGAGUAUCGGAGAGGCAGGCGGAAUUCCUAGUGUAGCGGUGAAAUGCGUAGAUAUUAGGAAGAACACCGGUGGCGAAGGCGGCCUGCUGGACGACAACUGACGCUGAGGCGCGAAAGCGUGGGGAGCAAACAGGAUUAGAUACCCUGGUA